rnacentral:rRNA from 1 species
GACGAACGCUGGCGGCGUGCUUAACACAUGCAAGUCCAACGGAAAGGCCCUGCUUUUGUGGGGUGCUCGAGUGGCGAACGGGUGAGUAACACGUGAGUAACCUGCCCUUGACUUUGGGAUAACUUCAGGAAACUGGGGCUAAUACCGGAUAGGAGCUCCUGCUGCAUGGUGGGGGUUGGAAAGUUUCGGCGGUUGGGGAUGGACUCGCGGCUUAUCAGCUUGUUGGUGGGGUAGUGGCUUACCAAGGCUUUGACGGGUAGCCGGCCUGAGAGGGUGACCGGCCACAUUGGGACUGAGAUACGGCCCAGACUCCUACGGGAGGCAGCAGUGGGGAAUAUUGCACAAUGGGCGGAAGCCUGAUGCAGCAACGCCGCGUGCGGGAUGACGGCCUUCGGGUUGUAAACCGCCUUCGCCUGUGACGAAGCGUGAGUGACGGUAAUGGGUAAAGAAGCACCGGCUAACUACGUG